rfam:Triticum aestivum genome assembly, contig: Triticum_aestivum_CS42_TGACv1_scaffold_579010_7BL
CUACUACUCCCUCCGUCCAAAAAUACUUGUCAUUGAAAUGGAUGUAUCUAGAUGUAUUUUAGUUCUAGACACAUCCAUUUUGAUGACAAGUAAUUCCGGAUGGAGGGAGUAUUAU